rnacentral:rRNA from 1 species
UUGGACCUGAUAUCAGGCAAGAUUACCCGCUGAAUUUAAGCAUAUAACUAAGCGGAGGAAAAGAAACUAACAAGGAUUCCCCUAGUAACGGCGAGUGAAGCGGGAAGAGCUCAAGCUUAAAAUCUCUAUGCAAGUUUUGCAUGGCGAAUUGUAGUCUAUAGAGGCGAUAUCAGUGCGGCUAUUUAGAAUAAGUUCCUUGGAAAAGGACAGCAUCGAGGGUGAUACUCCCGUUUGUAUUUAUAUAGCUAGCACGUACGAUACGUUUUCUUUGAGUCGUGUUGUUUGGGAAUGCAGCACAAAGUAGGUGGUAAAUUCCAUCUAAAGCUAAAUAUUGGUGCGAGACCGAUAGCGAACAAGUACCGUGAGGGAAAGAUGAAAAGAACUUUGAAAAGAGAGUUAAAGAGUACCUGAAACUGCUGAAAGGGAAUCGAAUCGUUUCCAGUGUCUAUAAUCUAUAGCAUAUUUCAUUGGCUAGUUUAUGCGUGUAGUGUUAUGACAGUAGCUUGCUGCGUCUUGCAUUAUUCUGCGUUAACUUGCUGGUGCCCUGUGCUAUGGUGAGACGUCAAAGUCAGUUUGUAUGCUGCGGGAAAUGAUUAGUUGAGGAGGUAGGCCGAGUGCUUGCACUUUGCUGUUAUACCUUAGUUAAUUAGUUGUCGUGGUUGAGACUGAGGUGCCUACAAUGUGCUUUAAAGUCUUUCAAGUACUUAUCUAAUUCGUUGUUUGGAUAGCUUGCUAUGUUGAUAAUUGAAUCGGGUGAUUGUAUUUGCAAGCUACUUUUGCCGUUCGGGACUUUGACGAAAUGGAGCGAUUCGGCCCGUCUUGAAACACGGACCAAGGAGUCUAACAUGUGUGCAAGUGUUAGGGUGUGGAAACCCCAGCGCAAAAUGAAAGUAAAGGAUAGCAUUAGUUAUCUGAGGUAGGAAACCUUUCCUUGUGAAGGGUGGCACUAUCGACCGAUCAUGAACCUUCGUGGUGAAAGAUUUGAGUAUGAGCACAUAUGUUGGUACCCGAAAGAUGGUGAACUAUGCCUGAGUAGGGUGAAGCCAGGGGAAACUCUGGUGGAAGCUCGUAGCGAUUCUGACGUGCAAAUCGAUCGUCAAACUUGGGUAUAGGGGCGAAAGACUAAUCGAACCAUCUAGUAGCUGGUUCCCUCCGAAAUUUCCCUCAGGAUAGCAGCAACUUAGUCACGAUAGUUUUAUGAGGUAAAGCGAAUGAUUAGAGGACUCGGGGAAGAAACUUUCUUGACCUAUUCUCAAACUUUAAAUCUGUAAGACCUGCAGGUUUCUUAAUUGAACUUGUGGAUUUGAAUAUCAAGUUGCUAGUGGGCCAUACGGGGUAAGCUCGUCUGGCGAUGCGGGAUGAACCGAACGCAAAGUUAAAGUGCCAAAGUACCCGCUCACCUAGAUACCAUAAAAGGUGUUGGUUCAUUUAGACAGCAGGACGGUGGCCAUGGAAGUUGGAAUCCGCUAAGG